GCUGUGGUUCAGUGGUAGCGCAUCUGGCUGGCACACAGAAGGUCCCAGGUUCGAUCCCCGGCAUCUCCA
rnacentral:tRNA from 1 species